rnacentral:rRNA from 1 species
AUUGAACGCUGGCGGCAGGCCUAACACAUGCAAGUCGAGCGGAGCGGCGGACGGGUGAGUAAUGCCUAGGAAUCUGCCUGGUAGUGGGGGAUAACGUCCGGAAACGGGCGCUAAUACCGCAUACUAUAAGAGGAGCCUCGGUCGGAUUAGCUAGUUGGUGGGGUAAAGGCCUACCAAGGCGAUGAUCCGUAACUGGUCUGAGAGGAUGAUCAGUCACACUGGAACUGAGACACGGUCCAGACUCCUACGGGAGGCAGCAGUGGGGAAUAUUGGACAAUGGGCGAAAGCCUGAUCGAGCCAUGCCGCGUGUGUGAAGAAGGCCUUCGGGUUGUAAAGCACUGUCAGCGGGGAGGCGGUACCCGAAGAAGAAGCACCGGCUAACUCCGUGCCAGCAGCCGCGGUAAUUC